rnacentral:lncRNA from 1 species
GGGCAUGUACAAGGUUGUCUGAGUUUCACGAGCAAGGAUGCCGGCCACACAUGUUGAUCGUACGACUUCAAGAGGUGUAGGAGGGAAAGAGGACCCAGAGAUCGGCGUGUUAUGAGGGAAGCCCCCGAGCUUAAAAGUGAGGUUGUUGGCCUAUCGAUCAGGUCGGACAGCCCUAGAGCAUCGAGAAGAGCUCAGGAAGGAAAGUGGGAAGGGGGUAGGUACUCAAGGAACCUCAAGGGUUUUUAUUAAAUUAUAAAAAUGUGAAAGAAGUACAUAGCUUGUAAAUAUUAAGGGUAGAAGCAUCGUAGGGGUUGUAUGUUCCAUGGGUUGGGUACGCCUGAGUCGUCCGCCCAUUGAAGCUAAUAGGUGCCUGGCUGGAUCACUUCUUUGACGAUGAAGAGGCCCUCCCAUGGGGCCG